rnacentral:rRNA from 1 species
GACGAACGCUGGCGGCGUGCCUAAUACAUGCAAGUAGAACGCAGUUGCGCACGGGUGAGUAACGCGUAGGUAACCUGCCUCCUAGCGGGGGGUAACUAUUGGGAACGAUAGCUACUACCGCAUAUUGUGAGAUGGACCUGCGUUGUAUUAUCUAGUUGGUUAGGUAAAGGCUCACCAAGGCGACGAUACAUAACCGGCCUGGGAGGGUGAACCGCCACAAUGGGACUGGUAAACAGGCCAAGCUCCUAAUGGAGGGAGCAAUAGGGAAACUUCGGGAAAGGACGGAAGGCUGACCGAGCAACGGCGCGGGAGGGAAGAAGGUGCUCGGGUUGGAAAAGUGUUGUGUUAGGGAAGCGGUAACUAAAGAGAAAGGGAAGGCCAACUACGUGCCAGCAGCCGCGGUAAUAC